rnacentral:rRNA from 1 species
AACGAACGCUGGCGGCAGGCUUAACACAUGCAAGUCGAACGGGUGUAGCAAUACAUCAGUGGCAGACGGGUGAGUAACACGUGGGAACCUUCCUAGGGGUACGGAACAACUCAGGGAAACUUGAGCUAAUACCGUAUACGUCCGUGAGGAGAAAGAUUUAUCGCCCUUAGACGGGCCCGCGUCGGAUUAGGUAGUUGGUGGGGUAACGGCCUACCAAGCCUACGAUCCGUAGCUGAUCUUAGAGGAUGAUCAGCCACACUGGGACUGAGACACGGCCCAGACUCCUACGGGAGGCAGCAGUGGGGAAUCUUGGACAAUGGGCGCAAGCCUGAUCCAGCCAUGCCGCGUGAGUGAAGAGGGCCUUAGGGCUGUAAAGCUCUUUUACCAGGGACGAUAAUGACGGUACCUGGAGAAUAAGCCCCGGCAAACUUCGUGCCAGCCGCCGCCGUAACAC